GAUGAAGAACGUAGCGAAAUGCGAUAAGUAAUGUGAAUUGCAGAAUUCAGUGAAUCAUCGAAUCUUUGAACGCACAUUGCGCCCCUUGGUAUCCCGUGGGGCAUGCCUGUUCGAGCGUCAUUUCACCACUCAAGCCUGGCUUGGUGUUGGGCGACGUCCUCUUUGGGGACGCGCCUCGAAACGCUCGGCGGCGUGGCACCGGCUUUAAGCGUAGCAGAAUCUUUCGCUUUGGAAGUCGGGGCCCCGUCUGCCGGAAGACCUGCUCGCAAGGUUGACCUCGGAUCAGGCAGGGAUACCCGCUGAACUUAAGCAUAUCAAUAAGCGGAGGA
rnacentral:misc_RNA from 1 species